rnacentral:rRNA from 1 species
ACUGCGGAGGGAUCAUUACCGAGUUACAACUCCCAAACCCAAUGUGAACGUUACCAAACUGUUGCCUCGGCGGGGUCACGCCCCGGGUGCGUCGCAGCCCCGGAACCAGGCGCCCGCCGGAGGAACCAACCAAACUCUUUCUGUAGUCCCCUCGCGGACGUAUUUCUUACAGCUCUGAGCAAAAAUUCAAAAUGAAUCAAAACUUUCAACAACGGAUCUCUUGGUUCUGGCAUCGAUGAAGAACGCAGCGAAAUGCGAUAAGUAAUGUGAAUUGCAGAAUUCAGUGAAUCAUCGAAUCUUUGAACGCACAUUGCGCCCGCCAGUAUUCUGGCGGGCAUGCCUGUCCGAGCGUCAUUUCAACCCUCGAACCCCUCCGGGGGAUCGGCGUUGGGGAUCGGGACCCCUCACACGGGUGCCGGCCCCGAAAUACAGUGGCGGUCUCGCCGCAGCCUCUCCUGCGCAGUAGUUUGCACAACUCGCACCGGGAGCGCGGCGCGUCCACGUCCGGAACACACCCAACUUUCUGAAAUGUUGACCUCGGAUCAGGUAGGAUACCC